AGCAGUCGCCACGGUAAUACGAAGGGGGCUAGCGUUGCUCGGAAUUACUGGGCGUAAAGGGAGCGUAGGCGAACAUUUAAGUCAGGGGUGAAAUCCCAGAGCUCAACUCUGGAACUGCCUUUGAUACUGGGUGUCUUGAGUGUGAUAGAGGUAUGUGGAACUCCGAGUGUAGAGGUGGAAUUCGUAGAUAUUCGGAAGAACACCAGUGGCGAAGGCGACAUACUGGAUCAUUACUGACGCUGAGGCUCGAAAGCGUGGGGAGCAAACAGGAUUAGAUACCCCGGUAGUCCCUGUCUCUUAUAC
rnacentral:rRNA from 1 species